rnacentral:ncRNA from 2 species
CAAUCUACUGCUCUCCGAGCCGCAUCACCUAAAGGGCAACCCAGGGUGAACGGCCAAUGGGUACGGUCGGAAACAGCCGUGCCUCCCACGCUUGGAAAGGAGAACUCAAACCGAUGCA